GGGAGACAAAGGCUGUGGAGACACCGCCAUUCCCUGUGAGCUCCAGUAUGCUCUCCACCAAUCCACAGCCAAGAAUUCCCAUACUUAUCCAUCUGAAAACCCCUUGUCAACUUCAGAACAAAGCAUCUAUCAUUCUCCAACCCAGGAUUCCCAACUCGACCCUUGUUGCCAGGAUGUGGCCGAACAAAAUGACCACUGUACAGUCUGACACAUUCAGGAGCUGUGAUGUUCAAUCCAGUAGCCAGAGUCUGUCAAAGCAGCCAGCUCAACCUGAUGAUCCCAAAGGAACAAUUAGCUCUGAAAACAUUAUUAAUGUGCAUCAUUUCAUCAAAGAGCAGAGUACAGCUGGCCCAUCACUCGUAGAGCCACAUCCUCCUUCUGAACAAACUCAAACUCAAAAUAACAAUCAUGGACAAAAGACCAAAAAACCCAGAGAUUCCCAGAGCCAGCAGCUAGACCAGCGGUCUGUAAAGAGGAAGAGAGGUAUGCAGGGAGACAGUUUCCUUCAAGGGAGUUCCAGCUCUGGUCUAGAGCCAGUCGUGGCCCCAAGCUCCAAACCCUGGCCUGUUUUCACCAUUGCCAACUCUGCAGUGGUACAUGAAGCUCAACUACCUUCCAAGGUUGAAGGUCCACCUGUGUGUCAGAAAUCGAAAAGACUUCAGGCCCGGACCAUUAUCCAGCAGUGCAGCCAGGCGAGGGUUAAGGUCAGACCAGCGGUAGAUGGUGCUGAUGCUGAUUGGGUCCAGGUGAGUGAGAGAUUUUGUAAUGGCUUCAGAUAUGCUUACCAUAUGUUGACAUUUGAUACACUGUUUUUAUAUUGGCAUUGAUGAACAUUUAUACAUACACAACUCCAUAGUUUUAUGCAUAUUUUCCAUUUCAGUACAAG